GACGAACGCUGGCGGCGUGCCUAAUACAUGCAAGUAGAACGCUGAAGAGAGGAGCUUGCUCUUCUUGGAUGAGUUGCGAACGGGUGAGUAACGCGUAGGUAACCUGCCUUGUAGCGGGGGAUAACUAUUGGAAACGAUAGCUAAUACCGCAUAACAAUGUAUGACACAUGUCAUUUAUUUGAAAGGGGCAAUUGCUCCACUACAAGAUGGACCUGCGUUGUAUUAGCUAGUAGGUGAGGUAACGGCUCACCUAGGCGACGAUACAUAGCCGACCUGAGAGGGUGAUCGGCCACACUGGGACUGAGACACGGCCCAGACUCCUACGGGAGGCAGCAGUAGGGAAUCUUCGGCAAUGGGGGCAACCCUGACCGAGCAACGCCGCGUGAGUGAAGAAGGUUUUCGGGUCGUAAAGCUCUGUUGUAAGUCAAGAACGAGUGUGAGAGUGGAAAGUUCACACUGUGACGGUAGCUGACCAGAAAGGGACGGCUAACUACGUG
rnacentral:rRNA from 1 species